rnacentral:lncRNA from 1 species
GGAGACUCCAGGCUGGGAUUUCCGCUCGAUCUGGGAAUGAAAAAUGCAACCUAAUGACACCCGGAGCUCCUGAAUCACCCGAGGAAAGUGACGAGAGACUCCCUCCGGUGGGAACGUCUCCUAGAAACAAGGCCUAAGAUGGGGCGACAACAGCCCCACAGCUGUGUCCAGAUGCAGGGAGCACUCGCCUGUGCUGUGAGGGACGGCCUGUGUCACCGUUGGAGCUUCCUAAGAGUCCCAGAGGCUGAUGCACCUCCCAGACUCGCCUCGGCCCGGCUCCCUGGGCCCUGCUCCAGGGGCUUCAUUGCUCCCUGCCCCGGGUCACCCCUCGGCUCACCGUCUCUCAGGUGUGGAAUAUCCUGCUCCAAUCAAAGCCGUGUCACCUGCGUUGUCCAGUGAAACGUCAGCGGACAGGCGCUGCCCGGGCUCCAGGGAGCUCCUCACCGAGGCUCACUCCCUGUGCCUCUGCCAUCAGCACAGGGGGACAUGCCUG